UUGUACAUGGUGGCACAUGCCUGUAGUCGCAGCCACUCGGGAGGCUGAGACAGGAGAAUUGCUUGAAGCUGGGAGGCUGAUGUUGCAGUGAGCCAAGAUCGCACCACUGCACUCCAGACUGGGCGACAGGGCAAAACUCCCUCUCCAAAUAAAAAAGCUCUAAGUAAUCAAAUAACCAAGUAAUUAAUUACCCAAAGUCAGUCAGCAAAUGAGUCAGAAUUCAAGCCACAAUAGCUAUUAUUCACACUAGUCACUCCUAAAUUUUUUUAUUUAGUGACAGUGUUUAAAUUGAGCUAAGAAUGUCUAACAGUAUCUGAGUAGCUAAAGAUUUGGAAAGUCUUGUCUUCUGCCAUCCAACAUUUGGUAAAGACAUGGUUAUUUUAGCCAGCAUCCUUUUUUUUUUUUUUUUUUUUUUUGUAUUGUUUUGUUGGAGAGAGUUUCACUCUUGUCGCCCAGACUGUCUCAAAAAAACAAAACAAAAACCUUUAUGAAUGCUCUUCAAUGGCUGCCAGGUUUGCUUUUUUUUGGCAUUUUGUUGUUAGGUUAGGAGGCUAUCAAGAAAUAUGCAGAAAGCUAAAUAGAUCCCUUCCCUUCUCCUGUUCUCAAACUUACACUAUUUCUAAUAACCAAGUGAGUUAAGUGGGUUUUAAAAUAGAUUACUCCUCACAAUGUUUCUUUCCUUCCACUUACCUGGCAUGUGUAAUCCCAAAGAAUCUUUUAAAUUUUGUGGUGAAAAAUCCCAUUUCUGUUCAUUUGGAUUUCCAUUCAUUAUUUACUAGGCAUUUAACUAUGCUCUAUGCUGGGGAAUCCGAUGGUCAGUAAGACAUGCCUUGGGAGCUGUCUGGUAGGAAAGAUGGACAAGUCACCAGGAAGUGACAGUAGACAUUGGUAAAUGCCAUAGGAAUAUCCCAGGAAUGGAGAUACCAGCAUCAUCAACAUGGGGCACAGAACCCUGGACCUGGGCCGGCUACAUUAAGACUCUCUCAAUGAGAUGGUAAAAUCAGGGACUAUUUUGUUCAUCCAGCUAUCUGGGGUGGUAAGCACAGUUGCCCAAGGCAUAGGGAGCCCCGCAGGAGGACAGCUGAAGAGGAAGGCACAUUUGGGGGAAGGAUGGCACAUGAGGUGAGAUCGGAGUUAAUCAGGCCAGAUUAUGAGGGCCUCGGAUGCCAUACGAGGGACAUGAUGUUUCAGAUCAAUUCCUCAGGCAGCUGUGUGGAUUGGCGAUGGGACCUGCAAUAACUCUGGGUUACCUAAAAUAGUGGCAGUGAGGCUGGAAAGAAGUGGGACAGGAGGAAGUCAUCAGCUACAGGUGGCUGCUGAAAGCAGAGAGGGAGAAAUCACCCAGGAAGAAUGGAGACACCAGGGGAAGCUUCUAGAUAAAACAGCAUCUCUUGGCUGAGCUAAAAGAGGAGCAAAUUUGUCUUUUCUCUUUAUGAGACAGGGUCUCACUCUGUUGCCCAGGCUAGAGUAUAGCAGUGCCAUCACGCCUCACUGCAGCCUCGAAGUCCUGGGCCCAAGCGAUCCUCCCACCUCAGCCUCGUGAGUAGCUAUGACUACAGGUGUGCUCUACAUCCAGCCAAUUUUUUCACAUUUUUGUUGAGACGGGGUCUUCUGACCAGGCAGGGUGGCUCACGCCUGUAAUCCCAACACUUUAAAAGGCCGAGGAGGGUGGAUUACUUGAGGCCAGGAGUUCGAGACCAGCCUGGCCAACAUGGCGAAACCCGUCUCUAUGAAAAAUGCAAAAAUUAGCUGGGUGUGGUGGCGCAUGCCUGUAACCACAGCUGCUUGGGAGGCUGAGGCAUGAGAAUUGCUUGAACCUGAGAGGCAUUCCAGCCUGGGCAAUAGAGACUAACAAAACAGACAAGUUCUGGAACUCCUAGCCUCAGGUGAUCCUCCCACCCCUUGGCCUACCCAAAGUGCUGGGAUUACAGGUGAGCAUGGCACCUGGCUUAAGGAGUUCUGGCAGAGGCCCUACUCCCUGCCCUGCAUCCUGUCUCCCAUGGCCUCUGGCUCUAGCCCAAGCUUGUCCAACCUGUGGUCCAGGGCAGCUUUGAAUGUGGCCCAACACAAACUUAUAAGCUUUCUUAAAACACCAUGAUUUUUUUUUUUUUUUUUUUUUAGCUCAUCAGCUAUUGUUAGUGUUAGUGUAUUUUAUGUGUGGCUGAAGACAAUUUUCUUCUUCCAGUGUGGCCCAGGGAAACCAAAAGAUUGGACACACCUGCUCUAGCCAACGUUCAUUCCAGCCCUCCUGUGUCAAUCUGCUCUUCAACUCAGCCUUUCAACACACUCAGGUCCUGCUUAUCUGGGCAGUUUGUGGCAGGAGCUGUGGAGGCUAGGGCAUACCCCCUUCCACCCUCUCCAAAGCAUUACUUUUACUAUUAAUAUAAUAACUUUGGAGGUGGCAAAGAGAAAUUUAUGUUAGAGCAAAACUACAAAAACUCUCAUAGAUCUGAUACUGAUGACUUGUACACUUCAGAUCAUUAUCAGUGAUGUAGAAUACAACGUAUUCUCAGCUAGCACGUUCUGCUACCAAUUAGCUGCUUUUUACAGUGCUAACGUACACAUUCUGUCACCUUAACACAGCUGGUUUCUCUAACAAGCCUUCAUGUUUCGCACGUCAGCACCACCACCACUGGGCUCCUCUCACGAACCUGUUGUAACGGGCCUCCCAGGUGACUGCUAUCUCCUGACGCUGGGCCCACCACCACCUGGAAGCCCUCAGGCGCUGACACUACCACAGGGAUUUUCUUCACCUGGAAUCUGAAGCAAAUGUGCAUUCUUCUGGCAGGGAAGCCUGCGGCCCUAGACAUCCUCAAAGACGUUAACAACAAAAAACCCACAGCUUUAGACUCAAUAAAUUCAGCAGAGUUCACUUCUCCAAACAUACGCCAAGCCAAAGUUUUCUCCAAGCCCUUUAAUAUUCACUUAAACAGUUGAGGCACAAGCAAUAAUAAAACUGCAUUUUUU
rnacentral:lncRNA from 10 species